rnacentral:misc_RNA from 1 species
GUAGGUGAACCUGCGGAAGGAUCAUUACUGAGUUAGGGUCUUCGGGCCCGACCUCCAACCCUUUGUCUAUCAUACCACCUGUUGCUUCGGCGAGCCCGUUCUUUGAGAUACAAGAACCGCCGGAGGGAUCAAACCCUCUGGUCCGUGCUCGUCGGUAGCCAUUGAUAAAUUCUUGUUUAAUUGUGUCAUCUAAGUAAACAUUUUAAUUAAAUUAAAACUUUCAACAACGGAUCUCUUGGUUCUGGCAUCG